rnacentral:tRNA from 1 species
GUCUAUAGUUUAAUGGUAAAAUUUCGGUUUCCAAAACCGACGUUCCAGGUUCGAGUCCUGGUGG